UGGAGAAAAGGGAACUCUCCUAUACUGUUGGUGAGAAUGUAAAUGGGUAUAACCCCUAUGGAAAAUAUAACUAAAUAUAGAUUACCAUAUGAUCCAGCAAUCCUACUCCUGAGCAUAUAUCCAGACAAAACUAUAAUUCAAAAAGAUACAUGCACCCACAUGUUCACAGCAACACUAUUCACAAUAGCUAGGACAUGGAAACAACCUGAAUGUCCACUGACAUUUAGAACUGGAUUAAGAUGUUGUACAUAAAUACAAUGGAAUACUACUCAGCCAUAAAAAAGAACAAAAUAAUGCCAUUUGCAGUAACAUGGAUGGAACUAGAAAUCCUCAUACUAAAUGAAGUUAAGUCAGAAGAGAAAGACAAAUACCAUAUGAUAGCACUUAUACAUGGACUCUAAGAUACCGCACAAAUGAACCUACCGACAAAAGAGAAACAGACUCACAGACAUGGAGAACAGACAUGUGGUUGCCAAGGGUGAGGAGAGAGGGAGUGGAAUGGAAUGAGAUUUUGGUUUUAAUAGAUGCGAAUUAUUAUAUUUAUAAUGGAUAGACAAUAAGGUCCUACUGCAUAGCACAGUGAACUAUAUCCCAAUGUCCUGGGAUAAACCGUAUGGAAAAUAAGAUUUAAAAAAAGAAUGUAAAUAAUGAAUUUUAUUUUAUUUUAUUUUAUUAGUGUUUUUAAAGGGCUGCACCCACAACAUAUGUAAGUUCCCAGGCCAGUGGUCGAAUCAGAGCUCUAGUUGCCAGCAUACACCACAGCCACAGCAACAUGGGAUCCAAGCUGGGUCUGCGACCUACACCAUAGCUCACAGCAAUGCCAGAUCCUUAAUCCACUGAGGAUACUAAAUCCUCAUGGAUACUAGUCAGGUUUGUUACCACUGAGCCACAAUCGGACCCCCCUUAAGUAACAAUUUUUAAAUUAUUCUCCUAUCUCUGAUGUACUACAUGAGAAUUUUGAUAAAUGGAUACAAUUUACAGAUUUGGUGAAAUUUGUAUUGAAGGAAAUUUGAGAAUUAUUAAUAUUUUAUAUUCUUCAUUAACUUGAUUUAUCAGAUACUGUGUUCCUUAUGUAAUGGUCUUAAAUAAUUGUCUACCCUUAAUAAUAAUUAAAAUGAAUAAAAAUAAUUUACAGCUAUGUGAUGGCCAAGUCCAUCAUGGCUAGUGGUUGACGUUUAAUUCAGUGUCUGGCUAAGUGACUGAGUCAUAAACACACUCAUUUGAUCUCAACAACAUACCUAACUACAUAUAAAGGAACUAUAUGUUCACCUUGAAAGGAUAUUUUUAAAUAAUUACUUUAUCUGUUGAUCUUUACCAUAAAUUUAAACAAGCACAUUAUUUCUUUUGACACCAUGAACUCCUUGGAACAUUUUCUCUAAAUCUCAGAAUUUCCCAAACCACUAGUUGGGUUAAGACUGUUCAAAGAAUGUUAGAAAAGUGCUUAACCUCCAUGGAACAUUAAGACCCCCUAAAGAGGUCCCCUGCUCUUUUGGUCCAUGGAAAACAACUUCAACCCUGACCACAACUGAGUAUCAGGUAUGCAGACAUAGAUGGGAGGAUGUGCAAGGAGACAAUCCCUGAGAAAAGCCAGACCAGACUCAAUAUAAGAAAGAAUGUGAAAACUCAAGGAAGACAUCAACAUGAAAGAGGAAAUCUGGAACCUUGCACCAGAAAUAGCAGCAAGUCCUAGGGAUUAGAAGAAAGCAAUGGAAAAAGGAAAUGUGUGCUUAACCACUCCUGAUCUCCCUCCCUUUAGCUUCCCCAAUCUUCCCCCAACUCCAGGCACCCAAGACCUCUAGAAAGGAAAGGGCUGUGGUAGAAAUAAAAGAUAUGUACUGGGAAUCUAAACAACUUUUCUAUGGGGACGCCACUCUGAAAAGUUAAACACAAGAAGAGAAGGUGAAGGCAUUGUCCUCCUGGCUGAUGAGAGAGGUGAGCAAUGGAAAUCAGGGGACAACAGGUUUGGUGGAGCUGUAGAGACCGGUAACACCUAGAGAAGGACCACAAUGAAAACAGCAAUGCACAGCAGCCCAGAUUCACAGGACUGGAAUGGUGGCAGCGGUGCUAACAACCCAGGUGGCAAGGUAGUCAGGGGCCUAUAGUAAGGUAAAAAAAUCCAAGAGCAAGAGGGCAACAGGAGGUUUCAAAGUAGUGCUUAAGGACAAAUGACCCAUGAGCCCCAUGAAUACGGUGGUAAAAAGGAAAGCAAAGAGUUCCCAUCAGAAACUUUUAAUUUUUUAUAAGAAAAUAUUUUCCUUCUGUCAGGAAAUCUCAGAAGGUAAGUGACACAGGUGAGAGAUAGUUUUAAAAGUGUAAGUAAUCUUGGGGGUUUGUAGAAAUAUUUAGGAAGAGAAAUCAUUUCAUAUACAGGCAGAUAAUAUACAAGACAAGACUUAGAGCCAUUGAAAUCUGAAAAUCAUUUGAAACAUGACCAAAUAUGUACUCACCUUUUAAUAAAGCUUAGAAUAUAGACAUACACAACUUUUCCUAGGUAUGGAAUUAUGGGUGCUUUUAUUUUCUUAAUUUCAUCUCAUUUGAAUUUUCCAAAGUUUCUUCAAAGAACAUGUAACAUUUGGGUAUUAAAAAAGAAUAAAAUCUAUUUUUUAGGGCCUCAUCUGCAGCAUAUAGAAGUUCCCAGGCUAGGGGUCGAAUUAAAGCUGUAGCUGCAGGCCUAUACCACAGCCAUGGCAAAGCAGAAUCCAAGCAGCAUCUGUGACCUACAUCACAGCUUGCAGCAAUGCUGGAUCCUUAACCCACUGAGUGAGGCCAGAGAUCAAACCCACAUCCUCAUGGAGACUAGUUGGGUUCAUAACCCACGGAGGCACAACAGGAACGCCUAUAUUUUACAAUUAAAUGCCAUUUUCCACAGGUUAAAUUGCAAAGAUCAAAAAAAGUUUAUUACUCAGUAUUGGUAAAAGGGCAGGGAAGUAAGCUCUCAUACUCCGCUCACAAAAUAAUAAAGGAUUAUGUUAUUUUUGGAAGACAAUUUGAGAAAAAAAAAUUAUAAUUCUUAAAAAUUUUAUAUAAUUUUGUCCAGGAAUUCUGCUUCUAGAAAUAUACAAAAUGUAGAGAAUUAUCCUAUUUUUAUAAAAAGUACUAUGAACAGACAAGAAGACAGACAAGUAGUAAAUUAUAAUAAUAUAUGCCAAAUUAUUAAUGAUAGUACUGAUAGGAUCAUGAGUGAUUUUCAUUUUAAGUAUUCUCUUCCACAUAUUUCUGCUAUGAAAAUUGUCACUUAAACAGGAAAAUGUUAUUUUAAAUAAACUAAAUUGAAAAGUUAUCAUGGCAUUGAAUUUUUCAUCAUGUUCUCAUAUUUUUUAUCUUCUUAUCUGUGGUUACAUCCUAUUCUAAUUCCUAAUAUCACUUAAUUUCUUCAGUGGUUGAGCAGCAAUGUAUUUUACAGUUUUCUCAAUAACUUUUUUGGGGAUUUAUUAAUCAAAUCUCUUGUUCUUGUUUUCUAAUCCAACAAAAUCUGCUUUUAUCUUUAUUAAUUUCUUCAUCCUGGUCUCCUUUGACUUAUUUUAUCAUUCUCUUUAUACCUGCUUGAAUUGAUGGCUUAGGUACAUUUAUUUUUAUUUUUUUCUAUUUUAGCAAUUUAGAAAUAAAAUCCAAAGAUUCUGAUUUUGUAUCCAGUUCCUUAUUACAAAUGAUUAUUAUUUAUUUUAAUAUCUUUUUAUGACUGAAUUAAAAUCUGAGUUUGAUACUGUGACCAAAUUUGCAAAAAGUAUUUAGACUUAAUUCUAUGUCUAAAUCAUUGCAUUAUUCCUUACCAUUUUUUUAAUUUACAUACAGUAAAAUUCACUUUUUCUGUAUAGUUCUAUGAAUUCGGCAAAUGUAGAGUUUGUAACUACCAUCACAAUCAAGACAUUGAUUAUUCCUAUCAAAACGUUCCCUCAUGCCCUUUUUGGAAUAAAUUUCCUUCCUCUACCCCCAGUGCCUAACAACCACUGAUAUAAUUUGUCUUCAAAUGUUUACUUUUUCCAGGAUGUCAUGUUGUUGCAUAAAUCAACACUGUUCCUUUUUAUUAAUGAAUAGUGUUCCAUGUGUAGGUGUGCCAAAAUCUGUUUAUCCAUUCAUCAGGUGAUGGGCAUUUGGGUUGCUAUAAAUAUUUGCAUACAGGUCUUUGUGUGGACAUAUGUUUUCACUUCUCUUGUGUAAAUAUCCAGGAAUGGGAUUUCUGGCCCUAUAGUAAGUAUUUGUUUAUCUUUAUAAGAUACUACCAAAUUGUUUUCCAAAGUGAGUGCAUUAUUUUACAUUCCCCCCAGCAGUUUAUAAAAACCCCAGGUGUUCCACAUUCUCAUAUAGUCACUAACACUUGAAACUGUCACAUUGGGGCUGGGGUAAGGAUAGAGUGAAGAGGCAGGGGCCUUUCUUUUCCUUUUCAUUGUUCUAAUAAAUAAAUGUAGUCUCACAUUGCUUUAAUUUGUGUUUUCAUAAGUUUGUGUAGUAACUAAUGAUGUUAAAUAUUUUUAAAUGUGCUUAUUGGCAAUCAGCCAUAAGUACCUCCUCUUCUUUUGUGAAGUGACUGUUCAAAUCUUUUGCCUGUUUUUUAAACUGGAUUUUGUUAUUUUACUAUUGAGUUGUGAAAGUUCUUUGUAUAUUCUAAAUCCAGAUCCUGAUAUCUGUUUUGCAAAUAUUUUCUCUCAGUCUAUAUACAAACAGUUCAUAUAGCUCAACAUCAGAAAGACAAACAACCCAAUCAAAAAAUGGGCAGAAGAUCUAAGUACACAUUUCUCCAAAGAAGACAUACAGAUGAUCAGAGGGCACAUGAAAACAUGAACAUCACUAAUUAUUAGAGGUAUGCAAAUCAAAAUCAUGAGAUAUUACCUCACACCAGUCAGAAUGGCCAUCAUCAAAAAGUCUACAAAUAAUAAAUGCUGGAGAGGGUGUAGAGAAAAAGGAACUUGCCUACACUGUUGGUGGGAAUGAAAGUUGGUACAACCAGUGUGGAAAACAGUAUGGAGUUUCCUCAGAAAAGUAAAAAUAGAAUUACCAUAUUAUCUAGCAAUCCCACUCCUAGGCAUAUACCUAGAUAAAAUCAUGAUUCAAAAAGAUACAUGCACCUCAAUGUUCACUGCAACACUAUUUACAAUAGCCAAGACAUGGAAGCAACCUAAAUACCCAUCAACGGAUGAGUAAAUAAGGAAAACAGAAUAUUACUUACAGAGUAAAUAAACAAUGGAACAUUACCCAGCUAUAAAAAGUAUGAAAUAAUGCCAUUUGCAGCAACAUGGAUGCACCCAGAUUUUAUCAUACUAAGUGAAGGAAGUCAGAUAGAGAAAAGCAAAUAUCAUACGAUAUUGCUUAUACAUGGAAUCUUUUUUUAAAUAAAUGAUACAAAUGAACUUAGUUAGAAAACAGGAAUAGGAGUUCCCUUCAUGGCUCAGCAGAAACAAAUCUGACUAGCAUCCAUGAGGACGUAGGUUUGAUCCCUGACCUCACUCAGUGGGUUAAGGAGCCAGCUUUGCCAUGAGCUGUGGUGUAAGUCACAGAUGUGGCUUGGAUCUGGCAUUGCUGUGGCUGUGGUGUAGGCCAGUGUCUCCAACUCUCAUUCAACCCCUAGCCUGGAAAACUCCAUAUGCCAUGGGUGUGGU
rnacentral:lncRNA from 1 species